rnacentral:lncRNA from 1 species
GCGGACGACCUCGACAGGAUCCCAGAAAGGGUCGUCAUCUCGAGCCACAGGGCCGUGAUCUCCAUCUAGAAAGCGCUGGUAAAGUUCCUGCAUUAGGAAUUUCCUAUUGAUGAACUUGGCUUUUGACCAUAUCCACACCUGGAAACACAGAGGAAAGCAGAGAGACACAGUGUGAAAUCGCUGCUCUCAGAUCAGCACACGGGAGAGGCCAGCAGUCAGGAGGGGGCUCACCGAGUUUGUCUGCACUCGCUCCCUCCGCAGCCGCCCUCUCCAGCUGGAAGAAGUCGUAAUCGAACCUGCUCAGGUCCUCACUGCCCCACUCCGAAGGAAACCCCACGUACAGGUGAGGUCAGAGGAGUGAAGUGACUUGCCCAAGACCACACAGUGAGUCAGGAGCAGGCCUGUCCCUCCAGCAGUGGUGCCAUGUUGUCCCCAAGCCAUGGUGGCAGAGGAGCUGGUGUGAACGCCCCAUCCUGCCACGUCUGUGAUGUGGGCACCUCACAUGACUGUCCCCUCCCAGCUCUUGGGGGGGACCUAGGACAUUCUGUGAGCCUGCAGGAAAGUUUACCAAAUGCUGCAGCUUUGUCCUGGUGGUGAUGGGCACCCCGUUAACGGCAACCUUGCAUUUGCUAUGUGGAGUGACCGUCACUUUACCGUCGGCAUUUGUGAAGGAAGCGUGUUUAUCUGAAAUUCUAAGAAGAUGAGAGUCAAAGACACCCAGCAAACGGCGGUUUCCGUGAGCAGGGUUGGAGCCCAGGAAGCAAACCAGCACUGCACCCUAGAUUUCAGCCAGAGGACGAAAGCCCUGCCCUCAGCUUUCUCAGACCAGCCCUGGAGUAGGUGGCCCGGGGAGACCUGGGCAGUGUCCCUGCUUGUCCUGCAGACUGUGUGGCUCUGCAGACCUCUAGAUGGAGGAGGCACAAUUCUCUAAUGCUGGACGAGGACACUGAUCAUGGAAACUCACCCCAAACCUUGAAUCGUGAUAGCAUUUGAGGCAGCCUGACCGGUGCCACAUGAACCUGAAAGGAAUCAAGAUAUAAUUUAUUUUGAAAAUAAAUCAGACACUUUCAGAA